GACUAUUAUUAUGUAUGGUUAAUCUUCAUCCUGAUCUUCUAUAUCUGUUUGUUUUUAAACGGAAUCUCAUUACAAGCUAAAAUUGUCUUUUAUGAAUUGUGUUGUGAAUUUCACUCGAGGACGUCAAACCACAGAAGUUGCAGAAUAUAUCGAUAAUUAUCGAUAUACACACGUAUAUAUAGGUAUCUUAUGUAUAUACUUAAUGGAACACACAGCAUGGGGCAACGUUUUCGUACGUACAGUUAUCGCGUAUAUAUAUAUAUACAUAUACAGGUGUACAUAUACAUAU